rnacentral:rRNA from 1 species
UGCGAGCGUUAUUCGGAAUUACUGGGCGUAAAGCGUGCGUAGGCGGUUUUGUAAGCCAGAUGUGAAAUCCCCGGGCUUAACCUGGGAAUGGCAUUUGGGACUGCAAGGCUUGAGUGCGGCAGAGGAGACUAGAAUUCCUGGUGUAGCAGUGAAAUGCGUAGAUAUCAGGAGGAAUACCGAUGGCGAAGGCAGGUCUCUGGGCUGACACUGACGCUCAUGCACGAAAGCGUGGGGAGCAAACAGG